rnacentral:rRNA from 1 species
AUCCUACGGGACGCAGCAGUAGGGAAUCUUCCACAAUGGGCGAAAGCCUGAUGGAGCAACGCCGCGUGGGUGAAGAAGGUCUUCGGACCGUAAAACCCUGUUGUUAGAGAAGAAAGUGCGUGAGAGUAACUGUUCACGUUUCGACGGUAUCUAACCAGAAAGCCACGGUUAACUACGUGCCAGCAGCCGCGGUAAUACGUAGGUGGCAAGCGUUAUCCGGAUUUAUUGGGCGUAAAGGGAACGCAGGUGGUCUUUUAAGUCUGAUGUGAAAGCCUUCGGCUUAACCGGAGUAGUGCAUUGGAAAC